GUUUAUUUGGUGAUAAACAAAUCCCACCUUCCGGAGGAGCCAGUGGCUCCACCGAGAGCCAGAAAACGAAACUGACUGACUCACAGUUUCAGCAAGAGGCAGGGUAAACACACUGCCAGAAUCAAAGAGGAAGUACAUGUACAAAAAAAAAAAAGCCUGGUUAUAAUUACCCCAGGCACUCUUUUUAGUAACACAAGGACAAGAGAACAUAUUUUUUUGCCCCCAGGUCCUCACUCAUGGCACUCACUGGGACCAUCUCCAGGUCUCUCCCACUUGAAGGAAGAGGAUCUGGAUCAAGCUUUGCCUUGUGAACUCCCAGUACCAGCAGAGCAGAGUGGUUUGGGGCUCCUCAGGCAUCUUUUGGCUCCCUGUGGGAUCCCUGGGGCUGUGUUAUGGGGCCUCAUGAGCUGGUGUGAACCCCCACACUGCCAGGGAAAACCUGCUCCACUUCUGCUGCAUGGAGCAGAGUCCUUGUUGUCUUUGGUCCCCAGGACACUCUCAACAUCCAGACCAGUCCUACCCCACCAGGACACCCACUGCAGCCCCCAUUGAGCAGACCUCAGCCAGUCUCAAACGUGCAACAUCUGGAUUUCUCUGCAAGAUCCUUUAUUUCUCACCUGGAGAGCAGCUGUGCUACAGUCAAAACUGGCAGGUCUCACUGAAGUUAUCCAUCAGACCUUGCUACAACUAAAGUAAAGAACCCUGCUGCAGACUGGGAUAGUGACAGAUGCAACCUGGCAUCAUCCCUUUGGAUCCCUCAGGAGCCAGGCAGCACCUACACUGAGAGGUGCAUCUGUUUACACAGAGGGAAAUAUCCAGCCUGAGAACACCAUCUGGCUUCAAAGGGAGAAGACAGCUCCAGGGAACCAAGAAUAGUCUCUGGAGAUUUCUGCCUCGAAGGGAAGCUUGACUUCACCUCAUGGUAGCUGCAAUUCAAGCGUGGGAUGAGCAGCACCUGCGUUAAUGGAUCUGGAUUAGCUUCCACGAGGCAAGGAAGCACCUUGUGAAACCUACAGCAAUGCCACCCAGAUCAAAGGCUGAUCAACCUGAUAGUGCAUCAUGCUGGCAUGAUCCUGCACAGCUUCCACCCAAGAGCAGAGUUCCUGGACAGGCAGUCUUGGAGCUGAAGACACAGAGAUGCUCACAAGUGUGUGGGUAACGUCCCGAAGCAACUAUUGAUCAGCUCAUGACUUGCUUCACAUGCAACAUGAAGUCCAGAGCUGAGACAAACAACUCAGGACCUAACCUCACGCCUCUUGAGGAACGUGUUUGCCAACAGUCAGAUCCCAGAAGCGGGAAGUCACCCAAGUCCCGGCUCCACCACCUCCUCACCCUGGCUGGAAACCAGCGAGCGAUCCUGCCCUGCUCAGUCAGUGCCCUGGGCUCCACUUGCCCUUACUCAGCCCAGACAGUGUCUGCAACAGCUCCACGCUGGGAUGAGAGCAAAAAUCAGAGCACGAAGGGCUCUAGGCUCCCUGCCUGCAGCCAGAGAUGGUGUCUAGGAGCUGAGCCAUCGGGCUCUGCUGCUCCCCAAAACGCUGUGACCGACCUGCAGCCGCGACAGCUCUAAGCACAGCAAGAGCAAACCAACCCGUGCCCACACCAACCUGCACCCACAGUGCCUGUGUCUCCUUGCAAGCACCACCUCCAGCUUGUUUUCCACAACUUCUGCAAGAGAUGAGCCCUCUGGUUUCCUAAAUCCAGAGGCCCUAAUUCCUCCUGUCCUUUACGUUUCCUAUUCUGAGCUCCACUCAGAAUAAGAAAGUGAAAUGAGACCCAAAGACACGGCCCAUAUUGCCCGUGAACUUCACAGGUGCCCUAGACCAGUAGUUCAGGGCUCUUUGCAGCUCCUUUACCUCCCUCUGCUCGUUGCUCUGACCUCACCCCCUGGUUUUUGCAGAGAAGGAAGCGAAGCCAGCAGUUAUUAUCAGGGUUAGAGACAGAUUGUUGCAGCUCAUGGCCCUGCUUGGCAUGCCCGUACAUGUUCCCCUGGCCAGACUUCCACAGGGCUAAACUGGUGGGUUUUCUGAUUUGCACCUUGAGGACAUAUUGACACCCAGAAAUGUAAAUUGUAUGGCGAGCAAAAAAUUUUGAAAAGCACUGGUUCUGGAUAAAUAACCACCUAUGUCAAGAUUAGAAGUGCAACACGUGGUCCAAGCUUAGAACUUCACACUGAAGGUUAUUCAGAAGACAAAAUAAGUUGAGACCAUAAAUGGUAAAAGUUCAGCCUGCAGUCAAGGUGGGGAUGGGGGCUGGAAAUGCAAAGCUCCCCAGCCUGGCUUAGAAAGCCCUCAUGUAUUUGCAUAGCUGCAUUCAGGGAGCCCGAGCUGCAGUGACACACAGAUGGAGAUGCUGUUUUUUCCUACAUGCCUCCGAGGACAGGAUUUCCCUUUUCCUCCCCAACCUCAAACAUCCCCAUCCACGGAAAAGCUGAAAACAUGAUGAGGAUUGGCAGCUGGGACUGAGGGUAAAGCUGGGAGCAGAGAUCCCACGUGGCCAGAUCAGCAGAGGCCCGGGCUC